GCCGAGCUCAGUAAUAUGGGCUUGUAACCCAAAUGGGGGCAUUAAUGUGGUGGAAUGUUGGGCCGCUCCAGAUAAAAAAAAACUAUCUCUCUU
rnacentral:SRP_RNA from 1 species